UCCCAGAUAUGAAUCGGGGCAGUCUGGUUAGAGUGCACCAAGCUUGCGCCUGAUUAGCAACUAACCACAGGGGUUGCGCUCGUUGCGGCACUUAAGCCAACAUCUCACGACACGAGCUGACGACAACCAUGCAGCACCUGUACAGCCCCAGCAUCCUUUCGGACCGUCAUCGGCUUUCACCGACUUUCACGCUGUAUGUCAAGGCCAGGUAAGGUUCUUCGCGUUGCAUCGAAUUAAGCCACAUGCUCCACCGCUUGUGCGGGCCCCCGUCAAUUCCUUUGAGUUUUAAUCUUGCGACCGUACUCCCCAGGCGGUUCACUUAACGCGUUAGCUACGCCGCGGAAGGGGUCGAAUCCCCCCACAGCAAGUGAACACCGUUUAGGGCCAGGACUAC
rnacentral:misc_RNA from 1 species